CCCUUAGAUGUUCUGGGCCGCACGCGUGCUACACUGAGUGGAUCAGCGGGUCAGGUUGCGCGAAAGCGUUUCCUAAUCUUUAAAUCCGCUCGUGAUGGGGAUUGACGGUUGCAAUUUUCUGUCAUGAACGAGGAAUACCUUGUAAGCGCGGGUCAUCAUCCCGCGCUGAAUACGUCCCUGCCCUUUGUACACACCGCCCGUCGCUCCUACCGAUUGAAUGUUCCGGUGAAUUCUUCGGAGUCUGCGGUAUCAAUGUUUCAUUAUACCAUAGGCGAAGUUGCGUAAACCUUAACAUUUAGAGGAAGGAGAAGUCGUAACA
rnacentral:rRNA from 1 species